AAGCCGUGACGAUAUAUGCGCUCUAAGUGUAGGUUGGGUCCUUCACAUCCUUCUGAUUCAUCAGAUAGUCGUAGCGCUUCUGAGCUU